rnacentral:rRNA from 1 species
UACGGGGGGGGCGAGCGUUGUUCGGAAUGACUGGGCGUAAAGGGCGCGUAGGCGGAUUGUUAAGUUUGGUGUGAAAUACCUGGGCUCAACCUGGGAACUGCAUUGAAAACUGGCGAUCUGAGAGAUUUGAAUGGGAUGAUGGAAUUAUGCAUGGAGAGGUGGAAUUCAUAGAUAUGCAUAGGAACACCAGAGGCGAAGGCGAUCAUCUGGGCAAAAUCUGACGCUGAGGCGCGAAAGUGUGGGUAGCAAA